rnacentral:rRNA from 1 species
UGAACGCUAGCGGUAUGCUUCAACACAUGCAAGUCGUACGGGAAAGAAAUUUUUAGUGGCGAACGGGUGAGUAACGCGUGAGAAUUUGCCUUUAGGAAGAGGAUAACAAUUAGAAAUCUUUGCUAAAACUCUAUAUGCCAGUUAAAUUGGUGAAAAAGAAAUUUGCCUAAAGAGAAGCUCGCGUCUGAUUAGCUAGUUGGUGGGGUAAAGGCUUACCAAGGCGACGAUCAGUAGCUGGUCUGAGAGGACGAUCAGCCACACUGGAACUGAGACACGGUCCAGACUCCUACGGGAGGCAGCAGUGAGGAAUUUUCUGCAAUGGGCGAAAGCCUGACAGAGCAAUACCGCGUGAGGGAUGAAGGCCUACGGGUUGUAA